UAGGCCGUCGUCAAGUGGUAAGACAAUGGCUUUUGGUGCCAUCAUUUCGCUGGUUCGAAUCCUGCCGGCCUAG
rnacentral:tRNA from 2 species